rnacentral:rRNA from 1 species
CGGGGAGGAAGGUGGGGAUGACGUCAAGUCAGCAUGGCCUUUAUGCCUUGGGCAACACACACGCUACAAUGGAUGGUACAAUAGGCAGCAAUAGAGCGAUCUGGAGCGAAUCCUGAAAGCCAUCCUCAGUCCGGAUUGCAGGCUGAGAUUCGCCUGCAUGAAGUCGGAGUUGCUAGUAACUGCAGGUCAGCAUACUGCGGUGAAUACGUUCUCGGGCCUU